AAAAACCAGCGUCGAAGUGCGCUGGCGAAGACUACAUGUGACCGUCAAUACCGUGCAGGGGCGGUAAGAGCGACGCGUUGCGUCUGAAGGACCGGAGGACGGUGGUAAAAACUAUCAAUUCCCUGCAACCGAUGUGACCGGAUUUUAUCAGGGUUUUAUAGAUCGUCAACACUAUAAGGCCGCAAAACUAUAACCAAUUGUA
rnacentral:sRNA from 22 species